CCCCCAGGGUUAGCUGCCCGUGGCUGGUGAGCACCCAGUCCGCAGGCACAGGAGCGCACCUCGCUGGUCAGGGGCGCACCAGGCUGGGGACACUUCUCCUCACCAUCAUGGGCACAGCCCUGUGCUGAAUGCCGGUGCCAACCAGCUGGGAUUGAGGAAACAGGAAACCCGGGGAGUCGUUGGCACAGCAAAUGCCAUAGGGGUGCUGCUCUGGCUCCAGCUGACGGGAGGAGUAGGAUGGCGAUGUCAAUGCCUCGUCUCUCAAUUGCUGACCAAACUAGGAAGGGAAAAAAAGCCAUUUCAGUUCCAUUCAGUUCCAUCAUUUGGAUGGAAACUCUUCCUGUUCCAUUUUCAUACGAUUUUAAAGGCUAAAAUAGUAAGCAAAUUGGGAAAGAAAACAAUGUUUUAAGAUAAAAAAAUGGAAUGCCUACCUUUGAAAUACUCACAUAAAAUAUUUGAUUUUUUUUUUUUUUUUUCAGUAGAAGUUAUUCUUCACGUUCAGCCAAAUUUGUGAAUUUGGUGUUUCUGUGUCAGCGACGUGCACUGGCUGUGGUGGUGGCUGUGUGCAAGGCAUGCCUCGUGCACUUUUCUCAGCUUUCUGACAGAACUUUCCUCUUCUUGAAACUUAUACUGAAAGGCCCACAUGGAUUUUGAAGUGAAAAUGCCACUUGUGUGCUCAGGCCGUGCCUCUAAUGUGUUUGAUAGCGGCUUCUAAUAGAGAUGCGCAUUAAUGAAAUCUAUACUUUCAAGGUGGGAAGCUAUUUUUCUUGAGAACCCACCCCAAAUCCGUGGC
rnacentral:lncRNA from 1 species